AUGUCUUUAUGAAAAUAAUUUUAAGUCAGAUYUGCUCCAUGAAUUUAAUUUAAAUAGCUGCAGUAAUUUGACUGUACAAAGGUAGCAUAAUCAAUAGUUUUUUAAUUGAAAGCUGGAAUGAAAGAUUUAAUAAAGUAUAAACUGUUUCAAAUUUAAUAAAAUUAGAAUUUUUUUUUUAGUAAAAAAACUAAAUUAAAUUUAAAAGACGAGAAGACCCUAUAGAUUUUUAUAUUUAUUUUUUAACAAUAUUUAAAUUAAUAAAUAAAUUUUAAAAAAUAAGUUAUUUGAUUGGGGAAAUUUUUAAAUUUAUUAAAUUUUAAAUUUUUUUUUACAAUAAUUAUUGUUUAAUAGAUUUUAAUUUUUUGAAUUAGAAGAAUAAAAUACCUUAGGGAUAACAGCGUAAUUUUUUUGGAGAGAUCUUAUUAAUAAAAAAGUUUGCGACCUCGAUGUUGAAUUAAGAUAAAAUUUUAAUGCAGAAGUUAAAAAUUUUUGGUCUGUUCGACCAUUAAAAUCUUAC
rnacentral:rRNA from 1 species